CACAUAUAUGCCUAUAAAAUGCAUGUUCAUAUAUGGGUAAAGGAUGUUUAUCUUAGUGUUUAUAAAACAUAUAUACAUAUAUUAAAUAUAGGUUUCAAAUAUAUGAACUAAAUAUUUAAAGACUUUUAAAUUAUUAGGCUACAAAAAAAAGAAAAAGAAAAGAAAAAACCUCAAAUGUUGUUCUAAAGAAUUUAAGAAUCCCAAAACCGAAAAAAAAACUGCACCAUGGUUUCCAUAAAUAUAAAAAGCAGCACAACUGUUUUCAACACUGAUAAUGACAAGAAAUGUUUUUAGAGCAUCAAAUCAGCAUAUUAGAAUAAUUUCAUGUGGCAUCAUGUGACACUGAAUACUGGAGAGAGACCUAUUUAAAAAAAAAAAAACCCUCAAACUUUUGAACAGUAGUGUAUUUUAUGGAAUGACACAGUAGAUGCAUUUAGAGCACACAGAAAAUAUACAAAUGUUUAUUUAUUACAUACAAUAUAACUCAUACAACACAUUACACACACAAGAACAUACAUUAAUGAGUGUAACCUGCCCUUGUUUUUGUUACCCAGGUGUGAAUGAAAUGGCUCAGCGAGGAGGGACUCAAUGUUCACAGAUCUGACAUGAUGUAAUGUGUUGGACAGAGACUGUGGUAGAAACAAUUUAAUCUGACUCUUCUCAGAGUGAACACAAUCAAUGGAUCUUCAUCAGUUAUUCUGCUCUGUGCCUCAGCAGCUGUUGUCUUCGGAAAUACUAUCAGUCCAGAUUGAACAGAUGUUGGUGCUGAUGAAGGUUAAAAGGCUACACUGUCCUGCAGUUAUUCCUCCUCUUGGGGUGCAGAUAAUCUCUUCUGGUACCGCCAGUAUGGAAAAUCAAAACCAGAAUUUCUUGUAGCCACAUACAGUACUGCAAAAAAGACUGAGGUAUCUGGAGUAGAUUCAAGAUUUUCUGUUAAAGUAACAAAAAAGGAACAAAUCCAUGAGAUUCUGGAGAUCUCUUCUGCUGCUGUAUCAGACUCCACUCUCUCUGUACUACUGUGUUCUGCAGCCCACAGUGACAGGAAACACAUCAACACUGUACACAAACCUUUCCUUAUUUAAUCCAGUUAAAACAAACAAUAGACAGAGAGUCAAAGAUUAAAUGAAUCUGAAAACUGCAGUUGUAAAUAAUAAGCUGAACAAUAACUGAAUGAAAAUAAAUAAAGUAAGAAAAACA
ensembl:lncRNA